CAAUGACCCACCUCCUGGAAUGCAUGCCCUAUGUAAUCCCCUCCCGUAAGUGUGGGUUGCAUCUAGUGACUUGCUUCAAGUAAAUAGAAAAAGUGAUGGGAACUUGCUUCUUAGUUUGCAAAAGAUUGUGACUUCUGUUUUGUUUGUACUCUCUCUCUUGCCCUUUCCUUUGCUUGCUUGAUAAAGUCAGCUGCCAUAUUGUGAGCUGCCAUAUGAAGAGGCUCAUAUGGCGAGGUACAGAGGGAGGCAUCAGUCCAUCAGCUCAUGAGGAACUGAGGCCUUCAGUCCAGCAGCCCAGGAGGAACUGACUCCUGCCAACAAUCUCUUGAGUGGGCUUGGAAGCAGAUCCUUCCUCAGUGGAGCCUUCAGAUGACUGCAGCCCCUGUGAAUACUGGGACUGCAGCCUACGAGAGACCAUGAAGCAGAAGACCCAGUUUUGCUGAGGGCAAGAUGGGCUGGGAACAGGGAUCUUUCCUAUCACACAUGGUGAAGAGGCAGACGACAAAGUAGCAAACCGGACUCUGGAGGAUGGCUUCCCAGAACAUCAGGUGAACUCUCGUUCAAGGAUGGUCACUCUUUCUCCUCUGCCAGCCCAGAACAAGUUCCUCGCAUACCCAGACCUGUGAACAGGAUUCCUCAUCCUGACAACGUGGCUCCAAUGGAGCAGAGUGUUUCCAUGUGGUCGCCUUUUGGACGAAGGUCAAGAUGAGCAGAGACCACCAAGCACAUUUCAAGAAGGAUAUUAGAUUUCACUGGGGCCGGGAGCUCAGAAGUGAGUUAUUAGAGUUUUGUUUAUGAUACCCUCUGGCUAUAUUCUUAAUUAGGUGGAACUGAUAAGCUUGAUAAAUUUUGAACUAUUGCUUUCUGUU